GCUGAUUGUAAUAUAUAGGAUCCGAAAAAGGAGGUUCAAAGUAUAGCGAUCUUUCAGGCAUUAUACCACUCACUCACCUGUCUCUACGGAAGAUUCAAUUCAAAACAAAGUGCUGCAGUCGAAAGAAUAUAAGUAGUUCGAAGAUGGACUCAAAAAUGAAAGUAAAGAGCUGAGAAAGUGGCUACAUAAGCACAGAAAGACACUCUAGUCUACUUUUGGAAAUGGCGUCCGGCUCAGACGACGGUGAUUGGUCUUCUGAUC